rnacentral:rRNA from 1 species
AUUGAACGCUGGCGGCAUGCCUUACACAUGCAAGUCGAACGGCAGCACGGGAGCAAUCCUGGUGGCGAGUGGCGAACGGGUGAGUAAUAUAUCGGAACGUGCCCAGUCGUGGGGGAUAACGUAGCGAAAGCUACGCUAAUACCGCAUACGAUCUAAGGAUGAAAGCGGGGGAUCGCAAGACCUCGCGCGAUUGGAGCGGCCGAUAUCAGAUUAGGUAGUUGGUGAGGUAAAGGCUCACCAAGCCAACGAUCUGUAGCUGGUCUGAGAGGACGACCAGCCACACUGGAACUGAGACACGGUCCAGACUCCUACGGGAGGCAGCAGUGGGGAAUUUUGGACAAUGGGCGCAAGCCUGAUCCAGCAAUGCCGCGUGCAGGAUGAAGGCC